UACAGAGGUCCCAAGCGUUGUUCGGAUUCAUUGGGCGUAAAGGGUGCGUAGGCGGCGCGGUAAGUCGGGUGUGAAAUCUCGGAGCUUAACUCCGAAACUGCAUUCGAUACUGCCGUGCUUGAGGACUGGAGAGGAGACUGGAAUUUACGGUGUAGCGGUGAAAUGCGUAGAUAUCGUAAGGAAGACCAGUGGCGAAAGCGGCGCGCUGGACCACUACUGACGCUGAGGAACGAAAGCUAGGGGAGCAAACAGG
rnacentral:rRNA from 1 species